rnacentral:rRNA from 1 species
CACCUACGGGUGGCUGCAGUAGGGAAUCUUCCGCAAUGGACGAAAGUCUGACGGAGCAACGCCGCGUGAGUGAUGAAGGCUUUCGGGUCGUAAAACUCUGUUGUUAGGGAAGAACAAGUGCUAGUUGAAUAAGCUGGCACCUUGACGGUACCUAACCAGAAAGCCACGGCUAACUACGUGCCAGCAGCCGCGGUAAUACGUAGGUGGCAAGCGUUAUCCGGAAUUAUUGGGCGUAAAGCGCGCGCAGGUGGUUUCUUAAGUCUGAUGUGAAAGCCCACGGCUCAACCGUGGAGGGUCAUUGGAAACUGGGAGACUUGAGUGCAGAAGAGGAAAGUGGAAUUCCAUGUGUAGCGGUGAAAUGCGUAGAGAUAUGGAGGAACACCAGUGGCGAAGGCGACUUUCUGGUCUGUAACUGACACUGAGGCGCGAAAGCGUGGGGAGCAAACAGGAUUAGAUACCCUGGUAGUCCACGCCGUAAACGAUGAGUGCUAAGUGUUAGAGGGUUUCCGCCCUUUAGUGCUGAAGUUAACGCAUUAAGCA